rnacentral:tRNA from 1 species
UGCUGUGGCUCAGCUGGUAGAGCAAUUGAUUCGUAAUCAAUAGGUCGGCGGUUCAAAUCCGCCCAGC